rnacentral:rRNA from 1 species
CUCUGCGGCCACACAACCCUGAACAUGCCCAAUCUCGUCUGAUCUUGAAAGCUAAGCAGAGUCAGGCCUGGUUAGUACUUGGAUCGGAGAGACUCUGGACCGGCAGCAC